CAGUGGCCAAAAGAAGCGUUGCGCAAC
rnacentral:sRNA from 1 species